rnacentral:rRNA from 1 species
CCCUUAGAUGUUCUGGGCCGCACGCGCGCUACACUGAUGAAUGCAACGAGCUCUACCCUUGACCGAAAGGCCCGGGUAAACUUGUGAAACUUCAUCGUGAUGGGGAUAGAUUAUUGCAAUUAUUAAUCUUCAACGAGGAAUUCCUAGUAAGCGCGAGUCAUCAGCUCGCGUUGAUUACGUCCCUGCCCUUUGUACACACCGCCCGUCACUCCUACCGAUUGAAUGGUCCGGUGAAAUCUUCGGAUUGCUGACCAAGAUCCAGCAAUGGAGCUUGGUUGCGAGAAGUUGAUUAAACCUUAUUAUUUAGAGGAAGGAGAAGUCGUAACA